UGUUUACCUUUACUCAAACAUUAGAUACAUAUUUUUAUUUUGGCUUAUAAUGGUUGACAUAAAAAACAAUAAAAUUCGCAAAAUCAAAUCUUUUAAUUUUUCGAAAGAGCUGGAUUUGGCAAGCUGUACUUUAUGGGCGAGGGAAGUGCUGUCAAAGUAAUCUUGGACGAUUUUUUUUAUUAUUAAAUAGGGGGUCAUUCACUUCACCACUUUUCACUCUUUGCAGUUCACAUUGGCUAUGAAAACACAGACGGCCGCGACCAACCACUAGUGUCUACACCAUUCGCUCUAUUUUUAAAGUCACAAACAUUCACAGAGCGGGCUUUAAGCUACGAGCAUCCUGCAAGUAUUGAUUUAUACUUCACUUGAACAGGAUCAUAUUUCUGCUGUCUGUCGUACUGUUAAGUGUCCUUUCUACCUCCAGUGCAGUGUUUGUUUCAUUGAUUCUACGAUGCCAGUCAAACAUCCACAAGAAUUUCAAAACAGGCAAAGUGUGAGCCGAUGUCUUUUUCAAGAUAACGAAAACGAAGAGCCACUUGAUCCAAAUCUCCAAUUAAGAAAUGGUCAAACAGCACAAGAGCAAUGGAAUUUUGAUUUUGUUAAUGAAAUUCCACUCGAAGGAGAGUGGGAAUGGGAACGUGUUACCAAAUCCGACUGAAAUAUUUAUCAGUUUGCAUUAAUAUACCUAUAAUAAUUAAUUACGUGGUGCAAUGUUAAUUUUAUUCACAAUUCGUCUACUGGAGGCUAUUGUUAAGUUUUAUUAGCAACUUUCUUAGAAUUCUUGUGUUUGUUUCUAGUCUUUGUUUUAAUAAACUGUAAAUUCUGUGUUAAUACAACCAAGUCGAUGGCAGCUACCAAAGUAUGUACGUAGGUUUAACUUAUAAAAUAAUGUAUUUACAGGGUAUUGAAAUAAUGUGAUAUCUGAUUUUUGCUUUCUAUUAAAAAAGGCAAGUAUUAACGUUGUAGCUACUAUUGUGUAUAAAAAUUAUGUAACAUUGUUGAAAAGUAGUACUUAAUGUAAAAGUACUUGUGCUUCUAGAGAUCGUCUAUUUUAUUAAUGGUAUUCUAUUUAGAUAUCAUUAUCUUUGCCAAAAUAGUAACUACAACAAUGAUUAAAGCUGUUCUUCCAGUUUCCGACAUUUCACUUUUUACAGAAAACAUAUUUUAUACAGUGUUUUAAAACUAAGGUAAAUUUUCCAAAUGUAACCACCACCGUGCCAUAAUACAUUUUUAUAUUCUA